rnacentral:sRNA from 1 species
UGAAUAUUAAAAUAGUAUGAAACUUCGAUAUACACGCUUAUAAUGAAUAGUCCAAUUGUCAUUUUAAGAAUUAGACACUUUAAUAUGUGACUGUAAAAACUCUUUAAAUAUGUAUAUUAUUGGUUAGA